UGACACCUUGUGGCCAAAACAGUUCUCUGAGUGUUUUGUGUCCACAGCACGGGCUUGGCUUCCUGGGGGUCAUUCAACCGGAAAAGACAUACUUCUGAAGGUUCUUGAAGAUUAUAAUGGUUUCUGAAGUCCUGUCUCAAAGGAUUGCAACUUAGCGGCAGAGCACUUGUUGGCAUAAGCAAGGCCCGUGGUUCAACUCCAGUACAGCAACACAAAACAAGACACCGCAUGUUCUGUUCUACUAAACAAGUGUGUGUGCAUGUGAGUGUGUGUGUGUGUGUGUGUGCGCGCGCGCGCGCGCGUGUGUGUGUACGGAGGUCAGAAGACAACUUCGGGAGUGGGUUCUUUCCUUUCAGCUCCGUAUCUGGGAUCAAACUUGGACAGAGACAGCAUGCAACCAUUGCCCCAGGUCAAGAAGUCUGUGCUUCAUGGAAAGUUCUCGUUCUAGUCUUCAAAGGGGACACCAGUGAGAUGGAUCGGGAGUUCAAGGCCAACAUCGGCUCCAAAGGGACCUUGAGUGGCAAAGUCAUCAUUUGUUGAUAUGGUCAGUUAUUCCAGAGAUACCAAGGAGUCUCCUGAGAUUCAUGAUCUUCCCACUGAUGAUGUCUAAAACUGUGCAGUUAAUGACUCCAUCCAAAACAAACAACAACAGAAAACCAAGUAUAGAAAAUAUUUGUGGGCAACAAAUUUUCUGGAGGGACUGUUUUGGGGAUGCUGAAAGAGCGCUGCACAGCAAGGUCUGAGAAAGGUACUGAGUAAGUGGCCACCUACUCACUCUGAAGCAACAUGAGGCCUUAGAACUGGCUUUGACGAUUCAUGGACCACCGUGGCUACUGAAAAAUGUUUUAAUAGAAUGUCUGAGCACUCAGUACUUUAGUUAUACCCACAAGGAUGUAUAGUUAUAACUUAGUUCUUAACAAAUGCAUGUUCAAACACUAUUUUAAUUAAUUGUGACAUUUUGUUACAGUCUGCUGAUAGUUUAAGCUUCCCCUUCCAUUUAUCAUUCUUCGAGGGACUUUCCACCUCUUGGUAUUUGCCAAACAAUCAUUUCUAGGAACAGUUACAGAAGAAAUGAAGUGCAGUGAAACAGUUUAGCUUUGUGUGUUCUUCAUUUUCAGAGGCAUCUUCACAAUCCCCAAGAUUUCCAAAGUGACUUGCUCCAGCGAGUUUAGUGAUAAAAAUGACUGUUAUGUUUACCGAUAGCUGCUUCCUUGAAUUUAUGGAAUUAUUUUACAUCUUUAAAACUAGAGUAGUUAAGCACAUGGCACAGUCUGUCCCUCAGAUAACUGGGUGUUUGGGGCACUGAAGUUGUUGUAUUUUUUUUUCCUUUAAUAAAAUUUUGUUUUUGUUUCA